GACGAACGCUGGCGGCGUGCCUAAUACAUGCAAGUCGAGCGCAGGAAGUCGACGGAACCCUUCGGGGGGAAGUCGACGGAAUGAGCGGCGGACGGGUGGGUAACACGUAAAGAACCUGCCCUCAGGUCUGGGAUAACCACGAGAAAUCGGGGCUAAUACCGGAUGGGUCAUCGGACCGCAUGGUCCGAGGAUGAAAGGCGCUCCGGCGUCGCCUGGGGAUGGCUUUGCGGUGCAUUAGCUAGUUGGUGGGGUAAUGGCCCACCAAGGCGACGAGGCAUAGCCGACCUGAGGGGGUGAUCGGCCACACUGGGACUGAGACACGGCCCAGACUCCUACGGGAGGCAGCAGUAGGGAAUCUUCCACAAUGGACGAAAGUCUGAUGGAGCAACGCCGCGUGAACGAUGAAGGCCUUCGGGUCGUAAAGUUCUGUUGUAAGGGAAGAACAAGUGCCGCAGGCAAUGGCGGCACCUUGACGGUACCUUGCGAGAAAGCCACGGCUAACUACGUGCCAGCCGCCGCAGUAAUAC
rnacentral:rRNA from 1 species